rnacentral:rRNA from 1 species
GGAAGGUGCAAGCGUUAAUCGGAAUCACUGGGGCGUAAAGCGCGCGUAGGCGGUUAGAUAAGUCGGGUGUGAAAGCCCCGGGCUCAACCUGGGGAACUGCAUUCGAUACUGUCUGACUAGAGUGUGAUAGAGGGAGGCGGAAUUCCGCAUGUAGCGGUGAAAUGCGUAGAGAUGCGGAGGAACACCAAUGGCGAAGGCAGCCUCCUGGAUCAACACUGACGCUGAGGCGCGAAAGCGUGGGGAGCAAACAGGAUUAGAUACCCUGGUAGUCCACGCCGUAAACGAUGUCAACUAGCCGUUGGGAGCAAUUUGGCUCUUGGUGGCGCAGCUAACGCGAUAAGUUGACCGCCUGGGGAGUGCGGUCGCAAGAUUA